rnacentral:rRNA from 1 species
UACGUAGGGUGCAAGCGUUGUCCGGAAUUAUUGGGCGUAAAGAGCUUGUAGGCGGUUUGUCGCGUCUGCUGUGAAAUUUCGGGGCUCAACCCCGAACUUGCAGUGGGUACGGGCAGACUAGAGUGUGGUAGGGGAGACUGGAAUUCCUGGUGUAGCGGUGAAAUGCGCAGAUAUCAGGAGGAACACCGAUGGCGAAGGCAGGUCUCUGGGCCAUAACUGACGCUGAGAAGCGAAAGCAUGGGGAGCAACAGGA